rnacentral:rRNA from 1 species
UACGUAGGGUGCAAGCGUUGUCCGGAAUUAUUGGGCGUAAAGAGCUCGUAGGCGGUCUGUCACGUCGGCUGUGAAAACCCGAGGCUCAACCUCGGGCCUGCAGUCGAUACGGGCAGACUAGAGUUCGGUAGGGGAGACUGGAAUUCCAGGUGUAGCGGUGAAAUGCGCAGAUAUCAGGAGGAACACCGGUGGCGAAGGCGGGUCUCUGGGCCGAUACUGACGCUGAGGAGCGAAAGCGUGGGGAGCGAACAGG